GCCCUUGGGGGCGUCAUCGGUCCCCCGCAGGCGGCGUCACGCACCAGGGGGGGAAAGAGGGAAUACGGUGCGGUGUAGCCAUCAGGCGCCAAAUCCGUGGCUGCCCCCGCAACUGUGAGCGGCGAGCGAUGCCGAAGAUGCCACUGGGCCUGCCGGUCCGGGAAGGCCGGCAAAGCGAAGACCCGCAAGCCAGGAGACCUGCCUGUGAUGCGCCCGGAUC
rnacentral:ncRNA from 2 species